rnacentral:rRNA from 1 species
CAACCGGUGUGUAGACUAACAAGGAUUCCCCUAGUAACGGCGAGUGAAGCGGGAAGAGCUCAAAUUUGAAAUCUGGUAGCCUUCGGUUGCCCGAGUUGUAAUCUAGAGAAAUGUUUUCCGUGCCGGCCCAUGUACAAGUCCCUUGGAACAGGGCGUCAUAGAGGGUGAGAAUCCCGUCCUUGACAUGGACCCCCGGUGCUUUGUGAUACAUUUUCAACGAGUCGAGUUGUUUGGGAAUGCAGCUCAAAAUGGGUGGUGAAUUCCAUCUAAAGCUAAAUAUUGGCGAGAGACCGAUAGCGAACAAGUACCGUGAGGGAAAGAUGAAAAGCACUUUGGAAAGAGAGUUAAACAGUACGUGAAAUUGUUGAAAGGGAAACGAUUGAAGUCAGUCAUGCUCUUUGGUAUUUAUAUCAUUGAGUGGGGUCAACAUCAGUUUUGAUCGAUGGAUAAAGGCACUAGGAAGGUAGCACUCUCGGGUGAACUUAUAGCCUAGCGUCAUAUACAUUGAUUGGGACUGAGGAACGCAGCAUGCCUUUAUGGCCGGGAUUCGUCCACGUACAUGCUUAGGAUGUUGACAUAAUGGCUUUAAACGACCCGUCUUGAAACACGGACCAAGGAGUCUAACAUAUCUGCGAGUAUUUGGGUGUCAAACCCGAGUGCGCAAUGAAAGUGAACGUAGGAGCGAUGCGCAAGCUGCAGCUUCGACCGAUCUGGAUCUUUAGUGAUGGAUUUGAGUAAGAGCAUAUAUGUUGGGACCCGAAAGAUGGUGAACUAUGCCUGAAUAGGGCGAAACCCAAAGGAAACUCUGGUGGAAGGCUCGUAGCGAUUCUAACGUGCAAAUCGAUCGUCAAAUUUGGGUAUAGGGGGCGAAAGAACUAAUUCGAACCCAUUCUGUAACUGGUUCCUGCCA